rnacentral:rRNA from 1 species
ACCUGGUGGCGAGCGGCGGACGGGUGAGUAAUGCCUAGGAAUCUGCCUGGUAGUGGGGGAUAACGCUCGGAAACGGACGCUAAUACCGCAUACGUCCUACGGGAGAAAGCAGGGGACCUUCGGGCCUUGCGCUAUCAGAUGAGCCUAGGUCGGAUUAGCUAGUUGGUGAGGUAAUGGCUCACCAAGGCGACGAUCCGUAACUGGUCUGAGAGGAUGAUCAGUCACACUGGAACUGAGACACGGUCCAGACUCCUACGGGAGGCAGCAGUGGGGAAUAUUGGACAAUGGGCGAAAGCCUGAUCCAGCCAUGCCGCGUGUGUGAAGAAGGUCUUCGGAUUGUAAAGCACUUUAAGUUGGGAGGAAGGGCAGUUACCUAAUACGUAUCUGUUUUGACGUUACCCGACAGAAUAAGCACCGGCUAACUU